rnacentral:lncRNA from 1 species
AUGGGCUGCCCAAUCACAGCCUCCCUGUCUCCUCCAGCCCAGGUCACACUCAGCCCUAAAACUGCCCGCAGAGCCUGCCUCGUAUCCCCUGAGGGCCAGGAGGCCUUGCACAACGGCCUCGGAACAAUAACCGGCUUUGGGGUGGUGGCUGCGCCGUCGCCGGAGAACAAUCCUCUUCCCAGCCCUAAGGCCCUUUCCGUCGUUAUCUGCUCCAGAAAAUCCCGUGCAGCUGUUCCCAGUUCAAAGGCCCGUGUAAGGAAAGAAUGCAGCUCAAAUUUCCAAAUCCGCCUUUUUGACAUCCAGUGCACGCCUUCCCUUUCUUCUGGAGUUGUAUGUAUAAAUGUAUAUACAAGGGCACAUAAUACCUGGGAAAGUAUGUACCAAGCAACAAGGCAACACACACAUGUUGCACAGUUCCCUAGAGCAAAGCCGUGCUAUGGCAGGGCUGUUACUCCCACCUGCUCCGCGUGGCAAAAGAGCAGUGGUCUGAUUUUAAAAGGCGGCAUGUCUCCAGGUUUUGUGAAGACCGCGGAAGAUGUCAGAACCCCUAGCUGCGAUACCUGGAUUGCAGUGUGCUCCGGUAGAUACCAGAAAGUCUACUGUUCAUUUUCCUUGUUUCUCUUGCGUGAUUUGUCACUGUCUCAGACACGGGCGGUGGAGCAGGUUUCUGCGUGGCCACGUGCCGUGACAUGCUUGUGUUCCAGAUUGUCCCCUCAUUCAUUUCCCAGCUCUGAUCCCAUCUUUUCUCAGGCAUUUUUCUGGGGGGGGCGGGGGGGGAGUCAGUUUGUAGCAACAGGGAAGCACUGCAAACACACCUGUGCUUGACAGAAGUCCAUCUCGUCCAGUUGGUGUUCACCUGUGCAUGCCGGAGAACCUGGGAAAAUCCCAUUUUCCCGGAAGACGUGUCUUUGCUUUCCGAUGCUCACGAACAAGUGGAGGCCAUUCAACCCAUUUUGCUCAUGACUCUGUGAUGACGUCACCUUCCCAGCAGUUCAUUCCAUAGAGGCAGUGGGGUCUUCCAGUAAGCUGCAUGCCGUGUGAGCGUUAUCAUGAGAAGUAUCGGAAAAUACAAUAAAUAUAAUAGAAAUUAUUCUUGCCCAAGAUACCUUUCGUAAGGCACUUGCCUGUUUAUGUGUGCUGUAUCUGCAAAAUGCCAACUUAUCAUGGGAGUGUAAUAAGAGAAGCAAUAACAGAGAAGGAAAAAUGUGAUAAAAAUGACAAGAUAUGGCCUUUAUUAUUUCAGCCUAAUGUAUGCACAAUAUUUCUCCUCCUAAAGCAGACCACCCUGGUGCAGUGUGGGGCGUCAGAGCUGCACACAGCUCGACUGUCACUCUGUGUGAUUCAAACCUGCAGCCGGCAGCAUCGCUUUGCGCCAGUGGGCACGAUCAGGAGCAGGCCAAUCCAUUGUCAUUUUCUGUCCUUACAUGGCCAUCAUUGCUGUAGAAUUUAUCACAAAGAAGGAGGUAAAAGGAAAUAAGGAACCUGCCCGUGGUCCGUAGGUUCCUUAUUGCGAGCACCUUCGAUUAUAGCACACGUGCGUAACUGAGGGUGGCGGACAUUCCCCGAGGCGUGCCAGAGAUGGAAUUAGACCAGAGGAAUCAGAGCCAUUACUGUGCCAUCAGGCAUUGGAGCCGAGUCUCGAGAGGUUUCAGUUGGGUGGAGGGCGCCUCGCAGUUUGUUUCCAUUGGCGCAGCGUUACGGAGUUAUGAGGUCUGGUCCAGUGCUCUGGCAUGUUCCCACUUGCUCUGCUGUGGGUGGGGAUGUGCCUUGUGGCUCUGAGGGUCUCCCUCUGGGAAAAAGUCUGAGGGUGCAUGGGUAUGGUGUCUGAACUGAGUUCCUGCCCUGCUAGGUCUGUCUAAGGAGGCAGGAUUUUGAAUCAAGCUUAUGAAACUUGGGGAUAGAAGGCUGACCCCAGUCAAUUGCAUUCUCUCUAAUGCUGUUUCACCAGGGAUAGCAAGCUUAAUUCUUGGAAGACCUAGUAUCUUCUGGUUUUGUGGUCCAGUAUGAGUUAAAUAAUUGACCUAAUUAUUAUGUAAAUUAGACUUAUGUAUGUUACUUUUAAAUUUACCUUUUGACGGUUGAUUACUGAAAAAAAUGCCCUUCAGUAAAAGCACAGUUACCUAUCCAACACAUUCAGAACUGGUUAGAAGUCUUAGCGAUCAUGAUGUUAAUAAGACCAGCUAGAGCAUGUGACUGCUAGCUCAGGAAUAAGGAAAAAGACACCAGGCCCAGCGGGAAUUGAGUUUGAUGUCCCUGCUCUUUGCUGUAGGGCGUUUGCUUCACUCCUUGUAUAUAAAGGAUGCACUCAAUGUGAAGUAUAUAAAUACUGAUUAGGCACUUCCUGGACUCUCUUGACAAAGUUUGGCAGAAUGCUGAGUUCUGUUUGAUUGCAACUGUCCGUCAUGAACACAAGAAGAAAAAUGUUUCUAAAAGUGCUGUGUGUUGAUAUCCCAGAUACACCCUUUUUCUCAACCUAGUCCCAUCGACAACCUCACGGUUUGAGAAGGCAGCUCACACGCACGAGAGUGUAUCCCACUAAAAACACCUGUGCUGCUCUAGAGUGAGUGCAGAUGCUGUAGCUGCAGGGUACUGGUUAGUGCAUGUUUAGAAUAUUUGCUGCGUUUACUUGAUAUCUUAUUUAUUUAUUCAUUCAAUCAAUUAAUCCAGGUUUUAAUUCAGAGGGAAAUGAACCCUGCACUAAAAGAUUUAUUACCCAUUGUAAUAGGGUGCCGAGAAAACAGCAUGCUAUCUGUGAUUAAAUGCCGUUCUGUAAAUGUCACUGAUUUUAAUGCCAUGUUGCUGGGGUGAAUUUUUUGUUUGGCGUUAAUGGUAAGCGAAUGUCUACUUGUUGUACUUCAAUUUCAUUGUGUACAAACUAUCUGUUUUAUGGUUUUUGAUUUGGUAGCAGAGCAGGCACAUUGGUGAAAGCCUAAUUCUUUUUUUUUUUUUACGUCUGCUAGUGUUUGUUGAGGAAGGGUCUUUGAUUAUUAACCCCCAAACUCAGUGGACACAGGCCUGCUGCCCAGUGUCAAUAGAGACGAAGGUCUCCAGCAUCUGGCAGUGGGACACAUGCAGUAUAUAAUGGGCAUGUUGUUGUGAUUCUCUGCACUGGGGUUUAGACAGGCCUGACAUAUAUGGACCGAGUGCCUUGUCUCUUAAUGGAAGAGUGUCUCUUUCACACCCAGCCACAAUAUAAAUUACAGGCAGCAGGUGUGUGGGAUGGGUGCAGCCUUUCCAGAGAAACACUGCAGGUUUAUAUGCGAGAUCAGCCACUGGGCAGGCAGACCAUACUAUCACUGCGUUGUAGAACUGUCAGCUUUACUGGAACAGAAAGAGAAUGUAAAAGAACCGCUUCAAGAAGAAAUGCAGAAAUAUUACAGCGAUAUGCAUAUCUAUAAUCCAAGUUCAUUUUAAUUGAAAAACAUAGCCUGUGGUAUGAGAGGAAUAUGUAACAGUAUAUGAACAGGUGUCUUCUGUGUACUGGACUGCCUGCUUUAUUGUUGUGGUCAAUGAAAAGAGGCCUACAGUGUAAAAUAUGUCAUGUCCCAAUGUCUAACUUGAUAAAAUAGGCACAAUAGUAUAGUACUGUCAUAAAUUUCAACUGUGAUGUCUUUUUAUCACUACUGCUAGUAAAUAUUGUCAGAAUUGUAUGGAAAUGAAGAAUUAAAUAUAAUUUAUUUUCUUGCUUGCACACAGUGCGCACAUGCCUAUUUGAACCGCUCGCUCCUUGACCAAUUACAUUCUGUUCAUAAUGGAUUUUGUUUACCGUGUUCUUGAAGGGAACUAAACAGAGCAAACCGAAUUAGCAGAGAAAAACUGACUUAUUAACUUAUCAAGUUUAAGUGCUGUAAUGAAACCCUGUUAUAUAUUGCCACAAUCCUUUAAAAAGUAGCUAACUGCGUGUCCAAGAUAAAUCACCAAUGCCCUUCAAGUGAUUGGGAGCCCAGAGGAUUGUGGGAGCCUGGAGAGAGAAUAGGAACAUAAUGUGAAACAAAUGUAUUGCUGGCAUGUACUCGUAAUAAACUUGCUUAAUUGGGAAAUGUGUCUCUGGGGUUGGAAGUGUUAGGACAAGCUGAAGAUGAACUUCAAUAAUAACUGUUUUGGA